CUCAUUUAAUCCUCUUUGAUAUGAGUCCUGUUAUCAUUCCCACUUCACAGAUUACGAAGCGGACACUCAAAGAGGUCCCCCAGCUAGUAAGUGGCCAAAGUGGGAUUCAUUUGACUGUUUGACUCCAGAGCUCAUGCAUUCAUGGGCAUGGCUACAGGUACCCUUCUCUUCACUCCUUCCCCAAGCAUGCCCCCAAUUCACCAGAAUUGAAACUCAAGAUUUUGACACCAUAGAGAGCAAACUGGGGAACAGGAACUACACUGUUGGUUAGGACUUGGGAGAAGAUAAAUUAAAAAGUCUGACACUUUGAUCACGUUCUGUAAAAGUCUUGGGGCUUUGCUUUCCCACUGUGAAGGGCAUUUUGAAAUACAUCUUAAUGAAUGCAUUCUGCUCUCUUGGUACACCAGGGGGAGCAUUUAGUACAGGAAUGGGAAUACGGUGGCUCCAGGAAGUGACUAUUCCUGCUCUUUGUAGGGAAGAACACUUUUUCUUUCUCUCUUUCUCACUGAAAAACACAUUUUUCUGUUUGAACAGUUUGAAAGCAAGUUGCAGAUAUCAUGAGACUUCACCUAUAAAUACUUCAGAAGGAUUUCCUAAGAAAGAUAUUCUUCUGCUUUAUGAUGAUAUUAUUAUCACGUCUAAGAAACUUAACAUUGAUGCAACAAUGAUGUCUAAUAUGUGGUCUGUAUUCAAACUUCUCCAGAUAUCCCCAAGAUGUUCUUUAUUGCUUUUUUUGGUUUCAAUCCAAAAUAAAUUUGAGACUUAGAUGGAGACCUAGUUAAACCUUUUCUUCAAAUGCCAUCAAUGCCAAAGAGCAGCAGUUGUUUUACUAAUUCAUUCACCAAAAGUGAUUAUCAAACGUCUACUAUGUUCUGGGCACUAACUAGCCAAGGCAAUAUAGGUGUGUAUAAGAGGCAAGUCUCUGCUGUCUGUGAGUCUAUGCAGAAUCUCGUCUUCCGUUAGAAGCAUCAACAAACAUGUAUUGCCUGCCCUCCCUCUGCUAGAAGUUUGGGGAGACAUGUUAUGGACUAAAUGUUUGUGUCCCCCAAAAUGUACAUGUUGAAGCCUUAACGCCCAAUGUGAUGGUAUUUGGAAGUGAGGCUUUUGGGAGGUAAUUAGAUAUAAAUGAGGUCAUGAAGGUGUGGUCCCCAUGAUGGGAUUAGUGGCCUUAUAAGAAAAGAGACAAGAGAGGUUCUUCUCUUUUUCUGCCACAUGAGGACACAGUAAGAAGGCAGCUAUCUACAAGCCAAGAAGAGGGUCCUCACUAGGAACUGAAGCCUGCUGGACCUUGAUUUUGAAAUUUCCAGGCUUCAGAGCUGGGAUUCCUGUGUUUAAGCCACCACCCAGUCUAUGGUAUUUUGUAUGGCAGCCGAAACAGACUAAUACAAGGCAUAAGGGACAGUGAGAUGCUGUUCAUCCUCUCAAGGGUUCGUGAACUUGUUACCGUGGCCUCCGCAGUCCCUGUGUUCACUUAUCUUUGCUAAGGGCAAAUCACUGAUGAGAUGG
rnacentral:lncRNA from 1 species